rnacentral:rRNA from 1 species
UACGAAGGGGGCUAGCGUUGUUCGGAUUUACUGGGCGUAAAGCGCACGUAGGCGGAUCGAUCAGUCAGGGGUGAAAUCCCAGAGCUCAACUCUGGAACUGCCUUUGAUACUGUCGAUCUGGAGUAUGGAAGAGGUGAGUGGAACUGCGAGUGUAGAGGUGAAAUUCGUAGAUAUUCGCAAGAACACCAGUGGCGAAGGCGGCUCACUGGCCCGGUACUGACGCUGAGGUGCGAAAGCGUGGGGAGCAAACAGG